rnacentral:lncRNA from 1 species
CUCUGUAGUCCGUGGAUCCAAAUUUGAAUUUUGUCCACUCGAGUCGACUCGACUGUCCUGGGAGUCGACUCGAAUCUCAGAGCCCGAACUCCCGAUUCUCUGUCUUUUGGCUCAUCCAGUCUUGGAGUCGACUCGAACUUCCUUGGAGUCGACUCGGCUCUCAGUUUCUGAAAGUUGGUCUUCUGCCUUUUGACGUGAAGCUUGUCUUGGAGUCGACUCGAGCUGUCUGGGAGUCGACUCGAAUCUCAGAGGCAGUAACAUGGUCUUCUGUCUGUCGAUGGUCGCACAGUCUCGGAGUCGACUCGCGUACUGCGGGAGUCGACUCGAAUCUCAGAGUCCAUAAAACGCUCUCUGACUUUUUCUUUAUGUACCGCUGGGAGUCGACUCGCGUUCCACUGGAGUCGACUCGAAUCUCAGACCUGAAAAAACUGCUCUUCUGUCCUUCUGUCUGUUUUCAGUCGGAGUCGACUCGUACUGAUCAGGAGUCGACUCGAGCUCGUGCCGGUGACCUUGAUACGCUUGGAGUCGACUCGUGAAACUCGGGAGUCGACUCGUAUCUCAGACAUUGGUUCAUGCAGACUUCUUAACUUAUCCAAAAUGCUAUGAACCAAGUCUAGAGACACUUGGAUAGGAUUUUCACUGAAACACUCAAUUGAAUUCAUUAGUAAUCACAAGAUAUACUCCAAUGCUUUGAGCUCAUCAAAAUCAAACGGGGUUUUAAUCGAUCACUCCACAAAUUUCAAAUUGUAUCAAAUGGAUGUGAAGAGUGCAUUCUUAAAUGGUUUUAUUGAGGAGGAAGUAUAUGUAGAACAACCUCCU